GCACUCACUUUGGCUGCACGUAUACUAAAAUAAGAAUGAUACAGAGAUUAGUGUGGACCCUGCAGAAGGAUGACAUACAAAUCUGUGAAGCAUCUCUUU
rnacentral:snRNA from 1 species